UACGGAGGGGGCUAGCGUUGUUCGGAAUUACUGGGCGUAAAGCGCGCGUAGGCGGACCUGCAAGUCGGGGGUGAAAGCCCGAGGCUCAACCUCGGAACUGCCUUCGAUACUGCGGGUCUCGAGUCCGGGAGAGGUGAGUGGAAUUCCUAGUGUAGAGGUGAAAUUCGUAGAUAUUAGGAAGAACACCAGUGGCGAAGGCGGCUCACUGGCCCGGUACUGACGCUGAGGCGCGAAAAGCG
rnacentral:rRNA from 1 species